rnacentral:lncRNA from 1 species
ACUUUGCCAAUAGAUGCUUUAAAAAGCAUCUACUAGAUGAUAAAUGGCGGCACCACCAGACGCCAGAACAAUUUGUUUUCCACGUAUUAAUUUGGAUGCUCAUAACUGAAAUUUACUUCAUAGCUUGAGGAAAAUGAUUCAUAACUAUUCACUAUUUCCAUCCUUCAUUCCACCCUUUCAAGGUCAAUGAAUUAGCAAGGUAAGUAAGGAUGAAACCUUUGAAAUAUUCUUCCCUCCAUACAUAUCCAAUAUUGGAUACAUAGCCAAUAUUUUACAUAUGUUUUCUUUCCUUUGGAUUAUAGGGUUUGUGUUUAGUUAGAGGGCAUCUCUCUCA